rnacentral:rRNA from 1 species
GACGUAGGAGGCGAGCGUUGUCCGGAUUCAUUGGGCGUAAAGAGCACGCAGGCGGUUUGGCAAGUCGGAUGUGAAAACCCGGAGCUCAACUCCGGACCUGCAUCCGAAACUGCCCGACUAGAGGUAGGUAGGGGAGAUCGGAAUUCCUGGUGUAGCGGUGAAAUGCGCAGAUAUCAGGAGGAACACCGGUGGCGAAGGCGGAUCUCUGGGCCUUACCUGACGCUGAGGAGCGAAAGCGUGGGUAGCGAACAGG